GACGAACGCUGGCGGCGUGCUUAACACAUGCAAGUCGAACGGGCCCGCCCCUGUUUUUGGGGGUGGGUUGAGUGGCGAACGGGUGAGUAUCACGUGAGUAACCUGCCCCCUGCUCCUGGAUAACUGCUUGAAAGGGCGGCUAAUACGGGGUGUGCCGGCUGGUCCGCAUGGGCCUGGUCGGGAUAGUUUCAUCUUCGGGUGUUUCGGUGGGGGAUGGGCUCGCGGCCUAUCAGCUUGUUGGUGGGGUGAUGGCCCACCAAGGCGGUGACGGGUAGCCGGCCUGGGAGGGUGGGCGGCCACACUGGGACUGGGGCACGGCCCAGACUCCUGCGGGAGGCAGCCGUGGGGGGUAUUGCAACAUGGGCGGAAGCCUGAUGCAGCGACGUCGCGUGAGGGAUGGAGGCCUUCGGGUUGUGAACCUCUUUCUCCGGUGGUGAAGGCCCUGUCCGUUGCGGCGGGGUUGACGGUAGCCGGGUAUGAAGCGCCGGCUAACUACGUG
rnacentral:rRNA from 1 species